GGGCCAGCUUUAGCUCAGCGGUUACUUCGACGUGCUCCAGUUUGAGCAGGCUAUGUAACGUGGUCGGUUCGAGCAACACAACCAGCCGCUUGCCUAUCUGGUGAGUGGUUGGUUCGAGACCCGCGGGCGCUCUCUGGCCCUUUU
rnacentral:vault_RNA from 14 species